rnacentral:tRNA from 1 species
GGCAAGAUGGUCGAGUGGUCUAAGACGCUAGUUUCAGGUACUAGUCCUUCGGGGCGUGGGUUCGAACCCCACUCUUGUCA